rnacentral:rRNA from 2 species
ACGGAAGGCAGCAGUGGGGAAUAUUGCACAAUGGGGGAAACCCUGAUGCAGCGACGCCGCGUGAGUGAAGAAGUAUUUCGGUAUGUAAAGCUCUAUCAGCAGGAAAGAAAAUGACGGUACCUGACUAAGAAGCCCCGGCUAACUACGUGCCAGCAGCCGCGGUAAUACGUAGGGGGCAAGCGUUAUCCGGAUUUACUGGGUGUAAAGGGAGCGUAGACGGCUUUGCAAGUCUGAAGUGAAAGCCCGGGGCUCAACCCCGGAACUGCUUUGGAAACUGUAGAGCUGGAGUGCAGGAGAGGUAAGUGGAAUUCCUAGUGUAGCGGUGAAAUGCGUAGAUAUUAGGAGGAACACCAGUGGCGAAGGCGGCUUACUGGACUGUAACUGACGUUGAGGCUCGAAGGCGUGGGGAGCAACCAGGAUUAGAUACCCUGGUA